AUGUGGUCCUAACUGAAAUCACCAUGGUUACCAAACAGAUAAGAUCAGAUUUAAAAGUUAGGAUCUUUCUGUAAUACACCCCCAGCUGGCCCAUAUCUAAUA